AGAGUGUUCUAUGACGUGACCCUUUCACUAAAAGUGCUUGGAAUCUGCGUCUUCUCGGCUGAAAUAAGGAGGUACACGGCUAGUGACAGAGAAUGGGAAGUGUACAGAUUUCUUUUGGAUGAGAACUGUUUGUUCCAGCUCGGUAGUGCUUCUGCUAGGAAUGAGAUUGUUAAUAAAGUGAGAAGAACAUUAAUGGGUUGGUGAAUUGAAGACCUAGUAUAUUGAUAUGUGAUCUUAUCAUAUAUGGCGUGGGUUUUGUUAUGUGUUUAAUCUUUAUAGGUUCAUGUAAAUGCUUUUAUCCGUUUGUCUGUUGGUAAGUCCUCUGCCAAUAUCGGCUUUAGUAUA